AGAGUUUGAUCAUGGCUCAGAACGAACGCUGGCGGCAGGCUUAACACAUGCAAGUCGAACGCCCCGCAAGGGGAGUGGCAGACGGGUGAGUAACGCGUGGGAAUCUACCCUUUUCUACGGAACAACUGAGGGAAACUUCAGCUAAUACCGUAUACGGCCGAGAGGCGAAAGAUUUAUCGGAGAAGGAUGAGCCCGCGUUGGAUUAGCUAGUUGGUGGGGUAAAGGCCUACCAAGGCGACGAUCCAUAGCUGGUCUGAGAGGAUGAUCAGCCACACUGGGACUGAGACACGGCCCAGACUCCUACGGGAGGCAGCAGUGGGGAAUAUUGGACAAUGGGCGCAAGCCUGAUCCAGCCAUGCCGCGUGAGUGAUGAAGGCCCUAGGGUUGUAAAGCUCUUUCACCGGUGAAGAUAAUGACGGUAACCGGAGAAGAAGCCCCGGCUAACUUCGUGCCAGCAGCCGCGGUAAUACGAAGGGGGCUAGCGUUGUUCGGAUUUACUG
rnacentral:rRNA from 1 species